AUUGAACGCCGGCGGCAUGCUUUACGCAUGCAAGUCGAACGGUAACAGGCCUUCGGGCGCUGACGAGUGGCGAACGGGUGAGUAAUGCAUCGGAGCGUGCCCAGUCGUGGGGGAUAACGCAGCGAAAGCUGUGCUAAUACCGCAUACGAUCUAUGGAUGAAAGCGGGGGACCGUAAGGUCUCGCGCGAUUGGAGCGGCCGAUGUCAGAUUAGGUAGUUGGUGGGGUAAAGGCUCACCAAGCCAACGAUCUGUAGCUGGUCUGAGAGGACGACCAGCCACACUGGAACUGGGACACGGUCCAGCCUCCGACGGGAGGCAGCAGUGGGGAAUUUUGGACAAUGGGCGCAAGCCUGAGCCAGCAAUGCCGCGCGAAGGAAGAAGGCCUUCGGGUUGUAAACUGCUUUUGUACGGAACGAAACGGCGAGCUCUAAUACAGUUUGCUAAUGACGGUACCGUAAGAAUAAGCACCGGCUAACUACGUGCCAGCAGCAGCCGCCGUAA
rnacentral:rRNA from 1 species